rnacentral:rRNA from 1 species
GAACUGAAGAGUUUGAUCAUGGCUCAGAUUGAACGCUGGCGGCAGGCCUAACACAUGCAAGUCGAGCGGAUGAAGGGAGCUUGCUCCUGGAUUCAGCGGCGGACGGGUGAGUAAUGCCUAGGAAUCUGCCUGGUAGUGGGGGAUAACGUCCGGAAACGGGCGCUAAUACCGCAUACGUCCUGAGGGAGAAAGUGGGGGAUCUUCGGACCUCACGCUAUCAGAUGAGCCUAGGUCGGAUUAGCUAGUUGGUGGGGUAAAGGCCUACCAAGGCGACGAUCCGUAACUGGUCUGAGAGGAUGAUCAGUCACACUGGAACUGAGACACGGUCCAGACUCCUAC